rnacentral:snRNA from 1 species
GUUCUCACUCCACCAGCACAUAUACUAAAAUUGGUACAGUACAGAGAGUACUGUGGCCCUGCACAAGGAUGACAUGAAAACUGGUGAAGUGGUCUGUAUUUUU